UACGUAGGGUGCGAGCGUUGCCCGGAUUUAUUGGGCGUAAAGGGCGCGUAGGCGGCUCUGCACGUCCGUUGUGAAAUCGCCCGGCUCAACUGGGCGGGGUCAGCGGAUACGGCGGAGCUUGAGCAAGCUAGGGGGCAAUGGAAUUCCCGGUGUAGUGGUGGAAUGCGCAGAUAUCGGGAAGAACACCCGUGGCGAAGGCGGCACUCUGGGACGGUACUGACGCUGAGACGCGAAAGCGUGGGGAGCAAACAGG
rnacentral:rRNA from 1 species